rnacentral:sRNA from 1 species
UAAACAGCUUCGGAGAAAGUAUGCAUCCC